rnacentral:rRNA from 1 species
GAGCGGUAUUUGUCUUUCGGGACAGAGAGAGCGGCGUACGGGUGCGGAACACGUGUGCAACCUGCCUUUAUCAGGGGGAUAGCCUUUCGAAAGGAAGAUUAAUACCCCAUAAUAUAUUGAAUGGCAUCAUUUGAUAUUGAAAACUCCGGUGGAUAGAGAUGGGCACGCGCAAGAUUAGAUAGUUGGUAGGGUAACGGCCUACCAAGUCAGUGAUCUUUAGGGGGCCUGAGAGGGUGAUCCCCCACACUGGUACUGAGACACGGACCAGACUCCUACGGGAGGCAGCAGUGAGGAAUAUUGGACAAUGGGUGAGAGCCUGAUCCAGCCAUCCCGCGUGAAGGACGACGGCCCUAUGGGUUGUAAACCUCUUUUGUAUAGGGAUAAACCUUUCCACGUGUGGAAAGCUGAAGGUACUAUACGAAUAAGCACCGGCUAACUCCGUGCCAGCAGCCGCGGUAAUACGGAGGGUGCAAGCGUUAUCCGGAUUUAUUGGGUUUAAAGGGUCCGUAGGCGGAUCUGUAAGUCAGUGGUGAAAUCUCAUAGCUUAACUAUGAAACUGCCAUUGAUACUGCAGGUCUUGAGUAAAGUAGAAGUGGCUGGAAUAAGUAGUGUAGCGGUGAAAUGCAUGGAUAUUACUUAGAACACCAAUUGCGAAGGCAGGUCACUAUGUUUUAACUGACGCUGAUGGACGAAAGCGUGGGGAGCGAACAGGAUUAGAUACCCUGGUAGUCCACGCCGUAAACGAUGCUAACUCGUUUUUGGGUCUUUAAGAUUCAGAGACUAAGCGAAAGUGAUAAGUUAGCCACCUGGGGAGUACGUUCGCAAGAAUGAAACUCAAAGGAAUUGACGGGGGCCCGCACAAGCGGUGGAUUAUGUGGUUUAAUUCGAUGAUACGCGAGGAACCUUACCAAGGCUUAAAUGGGAAUUGACAGGUUUAGAAAUAGACUUUUCUUCGGACAAUUUUCAAGGUGCUGCAUGGUUGUCGUCAGCUCGUGCCGUGAGGUGUUAGGUUAAGUCCUGCAACGAGCGCAACCCCUGUCACUAGUUGCCAUCAUUCAGUUGGGGACUCUAGUGAGACUGCCUACGCAAGUAGAGAGGAAGGUGGGGAUGACGUCAAAUCAUCACGGCCCUUACGCCUUGGGCCACACACGUAAUACAAUGGCCGGUACAGAGGGCAGCUACCUAGCGAUAGGAUGCGAAUCUCGAAAGCCGGUCUCAGUUCGGAUUGGAGUCUGCAACUCGACUCUAUGAAGCUGGAAUCGCUAGUAAUCGCAUAUCAGCCAUGAUGCGGUGAAUACGUUCCCGGGC